CCAGUCCUCUUCUCCUCUCUCUGUGCUGGUUUCUGUUCCCUCCAUAUUUGGGCUGCUGCUGCUUGUACUGGUUGUACUGGUGAAAAGACGUGUCCAAAGGAAACCUGAAGACAGAGAUCCUGCAGCAGCUGCCACCUCCUCAUCAGUGAGAAGAACAUCAGCAGACGGCCGAGACGGAUCAAUCAGGAGAAGAGAUGUUUCAUUAGAGACAACAGUCAUCUACUCCUCACUGAAGCUGACCCACACACCUUCACCACAGCUCAGAUUCAGAAAGUAAGAUUGUUUCCUCACUUGAAGAAGACAAAGAAGAAGAAGACGUCUUUGAAACCAGCUGCAGUCGCAGUCUUACACAUAUUAAUAGAGAAAUGGCAAUGGCUGCAUUUUAUUUUAUAUUUUAAUAUUUUAUGCUGAGGGUAUAAUCUGAAAGAGAUUGCAAGGUGGUGUCAGGGGGAAGUAGCUAGGCAACAAUUGGAGGAAGUGAGUGAAAGCA